rnacentral:misc_RNA from 1 species
GUGAAUCAUCGAAUUUUUGAACGCAAAUUGCACUCUCUUCGGAGAGGAUGGCUGUGUGAGGGUCAGUGUUAAUAAAAAUCUGAAGGUUGCUUCGGUGUGACACUUCGGAGUAUGGGUCGUCUUAAUAUCCGUUAGGUGUUAAGGGGCUGAAAAUUGACUUUUGUUGCGAAUUUUAGAGGUACAUAAAUUCGUUGUUGUAUUCGUCUGUCUUAAUGCUCAAAAUCCGAUUAGAUUCGACCAUGUUGGGUGGUUUCGUGUCUAUAAAUUUUUCAUGAUGUGACCUCAAAUCAGGUAUGAGUAU